CAUUUUACCCUUUUGUCCCAUUUUGGUGAAUUAUGGCUAGAGAAUCCUAUGUAAUCUUGCAAAAUCUAGCAAAUUAUUGAAGGGGGAAUAAUUAUAACCUAGCAUGUGACUUAUAGCUCAAUUAUCAAUCAUCUAGAAUUUACUAGAUUCCUUGAAUUAUAACUUAUAUAGAUUAAAAGUGAGAAAAGCCUCACUUUAAUUAUCAAACUUGUCCAAGACUUAGAGAGGGAGAAAGAGAGAAAGAGAGAGAAGAGGAGGGUGAAGGUUCAUCCAUGGAAGAAGAAAAAGAAGGAGAGCAUGAAAAUCAGAGGUAUAUACAUUUUGUUAUGUAAUUUUUGAUUAUUGUAAAUCAAACCUUGAAUCUAUAUUUCUAAACUCAAAAACCAUGUAUAUACAUGUAUAUAUGAGUGUAUCAUGUUUAGAUCUAACAAUAUUGGGUGUUGAUUUUGGUUGGAAUCAAAGGAAUAGAAAAAUGGAAUUUUCCCGGGAAAAGUUAAACUUUUAAAAAGUGUUUUGAUAUGGUGUUUUAGAUCAAGUGUUGAACUUAUGAUUUUGAGUCAUAUGAGGGUAGGUCUACAUAAUAUAUGAUAUUUUAUGGUUAGAUCUUGCCAUUUUUAGGGUUGAUGAGCUUGAACAAAGAAGAAGAACCAAAACAGUUUUUAAAAAAAUAAUCUAG
rnacentral:lncRNA from 1 species